rnacentral:rRNA from 1 species
AUUGAACGCUGGCGGCAUGCCUUACACAUGCAAGUCGAACGGCAGCACGGGAGCAAUCCUGGUGGCGAGUGGCGAACGGGUGAGUAAUAUAUCGGAACGUGCCCAGUCGUGGGGAUAACGUAGCGAAAGCUACGCUAAUACCGCAUACGAUCUAUGGAUGAAAGCGGGGGAUCGCAAGACCUCGCGCGAUUGGAGCGGCCGAUAUCAGAUUAGGUAGUUGGUGAGGUAAAGGCUCACCAAGCCGACGAUCUGUAGCUGGUCUGAGAGGACGACCAGCCACACUGGGACUGAGACACGGUCCAGACUCCUACGGAGGCAGCAGUGGGGAAUUUUGGACAAUGGGGCAACCCUGAUCCAGCAAUGCCGCGUGAGUGAAGAAGGCCUUCGGGUUGUAAGG